rnacentral:rRNA from 1 species
AAGCUCGUAGUUGAAUUUCGGGGUCAGUAGGUUGGUCGUGCCACCGGUACGUACUGGUCUCACUGAUUCCUCCUUCCUGAUGAGCUGUAAUGCCAUUAAUUUGGUGUUGCAGGGAAUCUGGACUGUUACUUUGAAAAAAUUAGAGUGUUUAAAGCAGGCUAACGCUUGAAUACAUUAGCAUGGAAUAAUGAAAUAGGACGUUCGAUCCUAUUUUGUUGGUUUCUAGGAUUGACGUAAUGAUUAAUAGGGAUAGUUGGG